AUCACAAAGUUUGCAUUUUCAAAAUGCUCUUCAAAAAGAGGUCAGAGCCUAGUCCAAAGGAGUUAAUUGAUAAUAGCAAGUAAAUCUUUCUCAACAGGCUUAGGAAAGAGAGGAUUUUGUUGAGGGACAUGGAAUACCUUCAUACUACCCUUAAAAAAUGAAACCAAGGCCACUGCUUGCUGCAUCUGAAAUUUAGAUCAGUCUUGAAUGUGUCUAUGAGAGAACAGUACAAAUUUCCUUGCUGCAUUUCACGAAACAGGUAGCAGAGUGGAAAUUCCUGGGAAUUAUACUUCUUGAUGCAUGAGAUUGUUUAACAAACACGAACUCUCCCCCAGACUUUCGAUUUAAAGAAAAUCAAAGACCUUCCCUCAACUCAAUGAAGUGUUAAUAACACCACGGAGUCCUGAGCCUUCGUCCUGAGCAGCUGCAGGGCUUCCCGCCGCCUGCAGGUGUCGCUGGUGGCUACUGACCCAUCUGCUGCUUGGCAGGUGAUGGGAACAGGAAGAAGUUUGCCCACCUCUGAGAUGAGGAAUAGAUUCCAAUACCCUCCAUCUAGCAAGAAAAAUGAUGAUGGGCACACUGGGAGCAUUUCCUUUUGCACUUGCCUUGUCCUGUUGCUGUUUUAGAGCUAUGUGCUGCGUGCCAUUUGCAGCAAAUUUUCAGGCGGGCAGCAUUUUCUUCAUUCUAUACUCCAAGGAAGAGGAGGGUCAGAGAGGAUAAAUAACCUGCCUCGGAUCUCAGAAUAGGUAAAUGACAGAGACUCCACUGCCUCUGUGAUUUCUCUCGAGGCCCUGGGACCCUCAGAUGGUGAAAGGCAAGAGUCUGCGAACCCCUGGAGGUCUGGAAGCAGGAUUCAUGGAGUUCUUUCCCCAGAGAGGAGCAGUCAGCUCUGAGUCAAUUAGCAGAGCAAUCAUCGGAAAUCAAGUCCCUGACUAAUGAGGUGCCUGAAAUUGAGAUGUCACUUGUAAUCUCUUUUCUCCUAGACGAUCUGGAUUAAGAUUCCAAGGUGUUCCGAGGGCAGUCACUAAAGGCUGGCUGAAGGAGUGAUGCAAACUUUUGAUGGGUGGAAAGCAUACAUUUUAGUGAAGAGGGAAGAAAACACAACCAAGUUCUCCAAAAGCCCAGUAGAAUAAACACAAGCUGCCACUUGGAAAACAAUUCUGAAGAAAAGCCCAUCUGGGGAGAAAAAGUGAGGCAAUCCAAAAAGCCGCCAAGUGACCACAUUUCUGGAACCUUGAUUGGAAACAACGUGUGAACAUUUUACCUGGUGAUGAGCCCUGAGUUUUACAUCAGCCAACAGCCAUGGCAGCAGAUGACAGAAAAAAACGGAAUCUUUUCCAGACUUGGAGAAAGAUAAAUCUGAAAAGGAGUUUUUCCCUAUAGACCAGCUCUGCUUAGGAGAUACUCACUGUGAGUUGUCAGAUCAGGGAACUUUGAGUUCUGGGGCCUGGGAAGUCCAAGAUCAAGAUGCUGGCAGAUUCAGUGUCUGGGUCUUCUAAUGAUAUUUUGUCUUGACUCCGAAAGGGACCCUUAAGGUUGAAGAUUCUGAUAUUCUGACAUAGUAGCAGGUGCAUAUUUAUAAAAAACUUCCCACAGUAUUCCAAAGUAGAUGUGCCAUUUUAUCCUCCAAACAGCAAUGUAUUAGAGUUCCAGUGGUUUCCAAAGCCCCUGUCAACAUUUGGAUUGUCCGUCUUUUUUGAUUUUAGCCAUCCUAAUGGCAAAAGCCAUCUCCCAUGUAACCACAUGCUUCAGGAGAAGCUGACCCUACACCUAGCUCCACUGAAAACCAUAAGAAAGGAAUGUCAUGCCUAUAAUUGCUGCAGCUAUUUUAAUUCCAAGUAUGAGGUUGAAACAAUCAUGGAUGGCCAAGUGAAGAGAUGGAAAAAGCAGGAUUCAGGAUAACUUUAUUUUUUUGGAAGAUGACCAAAAUGCUAUCUCUAUUUGGAGAUAAUAAUUAGUCUCAUCUUCAUUGGCUUCUUCUCGAAUGCGGAGGGAAUUAUCGGAUGAGUACAUUGGAACAUGGUCGCCAUGUGGCCUGCUGCCCCCGUGUACCACUUGGAGACCAGCCUAGCAUGGAAAUGACCAGAUGUUGGAAGCUGAGCUACUGCUCAAGGUAUUAAUGCUUGAAAGAUAUUCCAUGUUUGAAGGGAUUUUUGUGGUGCUGGCCUACAAGUUGACCUUUUUGACGUGAAUAAGAAACAUUCUUCAAAACUGUGGUUGACAUCCAAGCUUGCUGUCAUGUUUUGAACUGCCCUAUGGAGAAAGCAACAUGGCUAAGAAUAUGAGAGAGCCAACAGGACAAUGAGGACCUCAAUACAGCAAGAAACCAAAUCCUGCCAACAACCAUUUCUCAGAUUCUGAAGACCAGGACUCCUCAUGAAUCUGUCAGCCCCCCUCACCCCAGCUCUGGGCCUCUGUGUCACCACCACUGCCACCUCAUCAUUAUUUUAUUUCAUGCCAGUCACUAGACUAAACACCUUACAGGCUUUAUCACAUUUAAUUCCUUCAGCAACACCAACAGGCACUCACAUCUCUACCCCACCAGCAGCGUCUUAGAGGCAGUGAGAACUCUAUUUUAGAAGAUGAGUACUCCAUCAUGUAACUACCUAUGACCACAAGCAAAGUCUGGAAAAGCAGGCGAAAGGUGCAUGAAUACUGGGCACCAGAUGCUGAAUCCAUAGCAGGAAUGUUAGCAUGGGGUUGUUUAAAAAACAUCCUGUGGGAAAGGGAUUCUGCCAGAAGCCAAGUUACCCCAACAGAAUAAGCCUAUAAGAUGUGGCCUUCCAGAAAACAAACAGGCUGAGGACAGAAGUGGGAAGAAUUCACAUAAAGGGGAACUUUUGCCUGCAUCAAGGGAAUAGCAGACAGGGUGAUCCAGCAGGAGAGCCACUGAAGUCACUCCAAAGUGUUCUGAAAAUGAAGACACAGCUUCACACCCUUGCCAGGCCUAGAGCCCAGAGCCAUCUCCCAAUAGCGCCAGACAAUGGCUGGUGUGGCUUUACCUCACUUUGGAGAGGAUACAUGGUGAUGCUGACCUCCAGGGCCAGCUGCUUGGCUUGCCAAGACAGUGUCCUCAGAGACUGUGCAUGCAGACCCACAGCCUACCUGCCCUGCCCCCGGGUCCUUGCUCUGUCUUUAGCCAGCCUUUGUGGGCGUUCACUUCCCAGCACUACGAGGGAGGCUGACUGGCCUAUUUCCUCCUGACUCAAGGAAGGUUUGCUUGCUGAAAGAUUAUCCAGAAAAGAAGAAAUUUGAACACAGAGAGAGACAUGCACAUGAAAAAGGUGAUGUAAAGAGAUGAAGGAGGUGACAGCCAUCUAUAAACCAAGGAGAGAGCCUGAAACCUUUCUUUUACGGCCCUUUGAAGGAACCAACCCUGCUGACAGCUUGAUUUUGGAUUUCUAGUCUCUAGAACUUAAAGACAAUAAAUUUUUGUUGUUUGAGCCACCCA